GUUUUAAAUAUCGUUCUCUGCUAUAUUAAAAGACAAUGUUAAUGUUAAAUAACAUACUGGGAUACUGGGCUUAUAUUCAGGGGACUUAUAUUCAAGGGGGCUUAUAUUUGGAAUGAGGUGAGCAUUAUAUUCAGAGGUUUACAGUAUACAGUUGAAAGAAGCUUGUAUUUUCCUGUCAUAGACACACAUUUCUGGGUGGAUAUAGAACAGCUUAUACAUUGGGUUCUCAUGUGGAUCCAAUGGUAAUUUGAUAUCGCUGCCAUCACCAAAUAUAGUAUAGUGUAGCAC